rnacentral:lncRNA from 1 species
UGGAUACGAUAUAACGAAAAUACUUGCUUUUGUACUUUCAUCAAUUAUUACACUUAUUUAUGAAACAUAUUUCAUGACACUUGGAUUCGGCUCAAAAUCCUUCUUUUACUUAACAUCAAUGUAAUUUUCUUCAUUGCUAGAAACCGUGGGUUUUAGUUCAAAAUCUUUAAUGGCUCCUUUCUUUUCCUCUGCAUCUAUCCCAUGAUAAAGGAAAGGAUUAGGUCUUGGUUCAAAAUCUUUAAUGGCUCCUUUAUAAGAGAAAGCAUUAGGUCUUGGUUCAAAAUCUUUAAUUGCUCCUUUCUUUUCCUCUGCAUCUAUCCCAUGAUAAAGGAAAGCAUUAGGUCUUGGUUCAAAAUCUUUAAUGGCUCCUUUAUAAGAGAAAGCAUUAGGUCUUGGUUCAAAAUCUUUAAUGGUUCCUUUAUAAGUGAAAGCAUUAGGUCUUGGUUCAAAAUCUUUAAUGACUCCUUUCUUUUCCUCUGCAUCUAUCCCAUGAUAAACGAAACCAUUAGGUCUUGAUUCAAAAUCUUGAAUGGCUCCUUUAUAAGAGAAAGCAUUAGGUCUUGGUUCAAAAUCUUUAAUGGCUCCUUUAUAAGUGAAAGCAUUAGGUCUUGGUUCAAAAUCUUUAAUGACUCCUUUCUUUUCCUCUGC